AGAGUUUGAUCCUGGCUCAGAACGAACGCUGGCGGCAUGCCUAACACAUGCAAGUCGAACGAAGGCUUCGGCCUUAGUGGCGCACGGGUGCGUAACGCGUGGGAAUCUGCCCUUGGGUUCGGAAUAACAGUUAGAAAUGACUGCUAAUACCGGAUGAUGUCGUAAGACCAAAGAUUUAUCGCCCAGGGAUGAGCCCGCGUAAGAUUAGGUAGUUGGUGGGGUAAAGGCCUACCAAGCCGACGAUCUUUAGCUGGUCUGAGAGGAUGAUCAGCCACACUGGGACUGAGACACGGCCCAGACUCCCACGGGAGGCAGCAGUGGGGAAUAUUGGACAAUGGGCGAAAGCCUGAUCCAGCAAUGCCGCGUGAGUGAUGAAGGCCUUAGGGUUGUAAAGCUCUUUACCAGGGAUGAUAAUGACAGUACCUGGAGAAUAAGCUCCGGCUAACUCCGUG
rnacentral:rRNA from 1 species